rnacentral:lncRNA from 1 species
ACAAACUGGGGUUACUGGGGUUACUGGUGUAACUGGGAGGGACAAACUGGGGUUACUGGGAGGGACUGGGAGGGACAAACUGGGGUUACUGGGGUUACUGGUGUUACUGGGAGAACAAACUGGGGUAAUGGCCCAGGGGGCGCUGGGGGGAGAAACCGGGGUUACUGGGAGCACUGGGAGCACUGGGAGCACUGGGAGCACUGGGAGCACUGGGGUAAUGGCCCAGGGGGCUCUGGGGGGACAAACCGGGGUUACUGGGGUUACUGGGAGCACUGGGAGCACUGGGAGGGACAAACUGGGGUUACUGGGAGCACUGGGAGCACUGGGAGCACUGGGGUAAUGGCCCAGGGGGCGCUGGGGGGACAAACUGGGGUUACUGGGGUUACUGGGAGCACUGGGAGCACUGGGAGGGACAAACUGGGGUAAUGGCCCAGGGGGCGCUGGGGGGAGAAACCGGGGUUACUGGGGUUACUGGGAGGGACAAACUGGGGUUACUGGGGUUACUGGUGUAACUGGGAGAACAAACUGGGGUUACUGGGAGCACUGGGAGCACUGGGGUAAUGGCCCAGGGGGCGCUGGGGGAGAAACAAACGGGGGUUACUGGUGUAACUGGGAGCACUGGGAGGGACAAACUGGGGUUACUGGGGUUACUGGUGUAACUGGGAGCACUGGGAGCACUGGGAGGGACAAACUGGGGUUACUGGGAGCACUGGGAGCACUGGGAGCACUGGGAGCACUGGGAGGGACUGGGAGCACUGGGGUAAUGGCCCAGGGGGCUCUGGGGGAGAAACAAACGGGGGUUACUGGGAGCACUGGGAGCACUGGGAGGGACUGGGAGCACUGGGAUGGACAAACUGGGGUUACUGGGAGCACUGGGAGCACUGGGAGGGACAAACUGGGGUUACUGGGAGCACUGGGAGGCACUGGGGUGGGUUUGGGGUCCUGGGUGGGGUCCAGGGUGGGUUUUGGGUGGGUUUUGGGUGGGUUAUUUGGGAUGUUGGGUGGGUUAUUUUGGGGAGGGGUCCCACAGGGGUUCAUUGAUUUGGGUUGGGGUCUCACCAUGUCCAUGGGCUCGUUGCGGAGCACCCAGAGCAGGGGUUGGGUCAGGUUUGGGUCAGUUUUGG